ensembl:lncRNA
GGGCUCGGGGCGGAGAGGAGGGGGGGAAAUGGCAAUCUCUGAUUGGCUACGCCCGCUGUGGAUGGGCGAGGCCUGGAGGGGUUCGGCCGGGAGGCUUUGGCGCGGUCUCGCAGCUUUCACUUCCCCUCAGAGCCGCCGGUUCGAGUCCCGUGUCCGCGCCCCCGCCCGGCUGAGCCCCAUGGCAAGAACAAAGUCUGGAGGAAAGGAUGUGAAUUUGGAAAUUGAAUGCUCCACUUCUCUUUUGGACAAUAGUGAUGAAAACACAGAUUCAUCCUUUUUGGGCUGGGGGUCAAUCUUCAAAAUUCAUCUUAAAAGCAGCAGAUGUGUGCAAAAGCUUAAAUGAGAAGCUGAGCCUGGCCAGCAGCCAGUGACUAGUCUGGGAGUUGUGGUUUGCAAGUGUUUGUGAUCAGAUAACACGAAACUAGUGCUUAGAAAGAUGUAGAGGACCUGAAACACUCGUAAGACUUGCCAGUUCUGAAGUCCUGCACAUUGAUACCGUGGUUGUAUCACAUCUUUUAUUUUGAGAAGGAAAGAUAAACUGUUCUGUUGUUUAGCUGAUUAAAACAUAACUAAAUGACACGUCUGCAAAUACUGGUGCUUCUGUGUGUUUUUCUGCCACUGAGGAGGUGAUUGAAGAGGGGGCUGCUGAAGGUGUCAAUGAAGCAGCUCACGUGUCCAUGUUCUAGAGGAGGAACAAAGCUCCAGUGAAGGUGAAUGGGAAAAAAAAGAUAUUUGACAUGUAGCAGAACCCCCCGUAUAUUUUCUGCUUGGCUGGAUCAUGCUGUCAUAGCUCUUCUUGAAUGUGGAAAUAGGUGUUUAUGGCAUUUAGCAGUAUCAUGGGAAUUAAUCUGUCUCUGAGGUGCUGACGAGGGAAGUACAACAGAAAGAAAAACAUGAGCUCUCUUUUAAAGUAUGUACAGUCCUUACAUACCAUUACACACUGAGUAACUCCCCAAAAAUGGUAAAAAAUAAUAAUAAAAAAUCAAUUGAGCCAGACAAUCGAGUUGUUCCGAUUGCCUUUUAUAGAAUCAUAGAAUAGUUAGGGUUGGAAAGGACCUUAAGAUCAUCCAGUUCCAAGCCCCUGCCAUGGGCAGGGACACCUCGCACUAAACCAUGUCGCCCAAGGCUCUGUCCAGCCUGGCGUUGAACACUGCCAGGGAUGGAGCAUUUACCACUUCUUUGGGCAACCUGUGUCAGUGCCUCACCACCCUCACAGUAAAGAACUUCUUUCUUAUAUCUAACCUGAACUUCAGCUGUUUAAGUUUGAACCCAUUACCUCUUGUCCUAUCACUCACUACACAGUCCCUGAUGAAGAGUCCCUCUACAGCAUCUUUGUAGUCCCCCUUCAGAUACUUCAGAUACUGGAAGGCUGCUCUGAGGUCUCCAUGGAGCUUGUCUUCUCCAGGCUGAACAGCCCCAACUUUCUUAACCUGUCUUCAUAUGGGAGGUGCUCCAGCCCCUGAUCAUCCUCAUGGCCCUUCUCUCUAUUUCCACUCCAGAAAGACUCUACUUGUUCUUGCAGUUUUAAGAGUUAUCUAGAGAUGCAGCCAUGCACCAAAACCAGACAGAAACCGAGGCAG